UAGCUGCGUUAAACGGUGUGAAUUGCAGGACACGCCGAGCACUUGAUUUUCGAACGCACAUUGCGGCUACGGGUUCGUCCCGUAGCCUUGUCUGUCUGAGGGUCGGAUAACUUAUUAACUGUAAUACAGGCUCUUUCGUGGGGACUCUCUUCGGAGAGACCUCUCGUAGGGUUGUAAGAUUGCGCUAGUCCUUUGCGGCGGCGGUCCGAGACGUCUUGUCAGCACUUCUUGUUGCUUGCACUUGACUACGCACGGACCUACCAAAGCGGAGGGCGCGCCCGACCUGGGAAGACUUGAGUGUGUUGUGUUUUGAGUAGGAGACCUUCUUCGGAGGGGCUCUCUCAUGCACGGCCUCUCUGGUCACGCCCCACAAAGUAUAUCACUUUGUCGACCUCAGAUC
rnacentral:misc_RNA from 1 species